CUAGCACGAAUCACACGACGAUCUAUUUUAAUGACUUUGGUACAGGCAUGUAUCCAGCAAAGUUAUUUUUACACGAAAGGUAACAGAGAAGUGAAAGAAACUCGAACAGGAGUCGGUUUUCUAUGAACCGAAGUUCGGAUCUAUCAAAGAAUUACUCUGUAAACCACGAUCUAAAUGUCGACACCAGAGCUACAAUUUCGUGACAAUUGCCGAAAGAAGGUCCCUUAUGGGAUAAGAUUUAUACAAUGGAUUGGACGAGAACGUACACAAGCCUAUCGUGGAUGGGUCCUCAUACUGACGUUCUUUGCUUACACUUCGUAUCAUCUUUCAAGGAAACCUAUCAGUGUUGUAAAGGGCACAUUGAAACCAAAUUGUUCAAAAAUAAGUGAAAGUUGCCAUGGCUGGAAACCAUUUG